GUUUGUUAAUAGAUACCGAGGGGAUGUCAGGGGUAAGUUUUUUUACACAGAUAGUGGUGGGUGCGUGGAAUGCACUGCCGGCUAUUUGUGUGAGGGUGUUUCAGUUACUGUGGGGCCAGGCACCCAUGCAGCUCAGUGGGAACAGGGAAUAAUACCAAUGGAGAGAGUCAAACUGAGCCAGGUCACAGACUGGAGAUGGCAGAAAUGCUCCAUUCUUAUAGAGACAGGAAGAGCAUCAGAGAGUUUGAUGGUCAUUACAGAUACCAGCACUGUGCCCAGUUAGAAGAUGAUUUCUCUUUCCAACUUGGGUUGAACCUCACUGUAACAGUGUGAUACCAGAUCACACCUUGGCAACUCAAGUGAUCUCAUCUGAAAUGUUGUUCUUCACUCAUUGAUCGAUUUUGUAAAUCUUUUUACAGAUUAAUAACGACAAGGAAUUUGUCUACUGGAAUCACGAACACAACACACCAGUUUUGCUGACUUCGUCCAGAUAUUUAAGAAGUAGGGCAAGGGAUUCACUCGAUCAUCCUUCCUGCUCAGACUGUGGGGAGGGACUCACUCGGUUAUCUGACCGACUGGUAUUCCCAUCAUUUUAUACAGGGGAACCCAUUCAUCUGCUCAGACAGUGGGAAUGGAUUCACUCGAUCAUUUCAACUGAAGGUACAUCAGCAAGUUCAACAAGGCCAUUCACCCGUUCUGUGUGUGAGAAGGGUUUCAGUUGGUCUCCCCACCUGUGGACACACCAGUCAGUUCACUUCGAACAGAGGCUGGUCAUCUGCUGAACUUGUGGGGAAGAAUUCACUCGGUUAUCUGACCUAAUGGGUCACCAGCGAGUUCACACCGGGGAGCAACAGUUCACCUGCUCAGAUUGUGGGAAAGGAUUCAUUCAGGCAUCUAAACUGAAGGUACAUCAGAGAGUUCACACUGGGGAGAGGCCGUUCACCUGCUCAGACUGCGGGAAGGGAUUCACUCAGUCAUCCCACCUCCAAGCACACCGGUCAGUUCACACUGGAGAGCGGCCAUUCACCUGCUCAGACUGUGGGAAAGGAUUCACUAAUUCAUCAGACCUACUGGUGCACAAGUCAGUUCACACCGGGGAGUGGCCGUUCACCUGCUCAGACUGUGGGAAGGGAGUCACUUGCUCAUCCCAACUAAAGAUACAUCAGAGACUUCACACUGGAGAGAGGCCGUUCACCUGCUCAGACUGUGAGAAAGGAUUCACUCGGUCAUCCGACCUACUGGUACACAAGUCACUUCACACAGGGGAGAGGCCGUUCACCUGCUCAGACUGUGGGAAAGGAUUCACUCGGUUAUCUAAACUGAAGGUGCAUCAGAGAGUUCACAAUGGAGAGAGGCCGUUCACCUGCUCAGACUGCGGGAAGGGAUUCAAUCGAUCAUCCCAAAUGCAAGCACACCGGUCAGUUCACACUGGGGAGAGGCCAUUCACCUGCUCAGACUGUGGGAAGGGAUUCACAUCGUCAUCUCAACUGAAGGUACAUCAGCAAUUUCACACUGGGGAGAGGCCGUUCACCUGCUCAGACUGUGGGAAGGGAUUCACUCGAUCAUCCCACCUACAAGCACACCGGUCAGUUCACACCGGGGAGUGGCCGUUCACCUGCUCAGACUGUGGGAAGGGAGUCACUUCCUCAUCCCAACUGAAGGUACAUCAGAGAGUUCACACUGGAGAGAGGCCGUUCACCUGCUCAGACUGUGCUAAAGGAUUCACUCGGUCAUCCGACCUAAUGGCACACCAGCGAGUUCACACCGGGGAGCGGCCGUUCACCUGCUUGGAUUGUGGGAAGGGAUACACUCGGUUAUCUAUACUUAAGGUACAUCAGAGAGUUCACACUGGAGAGAGGCCAUUCACCUGUUCAGACUGAAGGGAAGUGAUUCACUUGGUCAUCCCAACUGAAGGCACAUCAGAGAGUUCACACUGGAGAGAGACUAUUCACCUGCUCAGACUGUGGGAAAAGAUUCAGUCAUUUCAACUUAAGAUAUAUCAGCGAGUUCACACUGGAGAGAGGCCAUUCACCUGCUCAGACUGUGGGAAGGGAUACACUUGCUCAUCCCAUCUGAAGGUACAUCAGUGAGUUCACACUGGGUAGAGGCUGAUCACCUGCUCAGACUUUGGGAAGAGAUUCUCUUAGCCAAAUCAAUCAAAUGUGCAUCACUGAGAUCAUACUGGGGAGAGGCUGUUCACCUGCUGUGAAUGUGGUAAGCGAUUCACUCAGUCAUCUAACCUUAUGUAACUCUCGCUUCAGCUAGCAGCUUAAUAUAGGGGGUGGUAGCCCCCCCAGCCUGGCCAAGCUUAAGAAAUCUCGUUUGGGUGGAUGCUGCUCGAUGUGUCCCCUGUUACAAAUCAGUACCCCAAAAUAACAAAUGGUACACAAUAUGUGAUUAAACAAUUGAGCUUUAUAAUUCUUACUUUGACUAUAGGGUUAGUAAAGAAAACAAAAAAAAAAGAGAAAGGACCCACUCUCUCCAUUUGCGUCUUCUCAUCUCUCCCCAGCAAAAGACCAUGGAAAUCUCUCUUCCAGUCUCACAAGAAAGAACAGUUCUGUCAUUGGUGUUACAUCGCUCAUGGAUAUCUUGUGACUGUCUUUAGUAUUGGAGAGUGAAGGCUUUAUCGAAGUACAGGAUCUGAAAGAUUAAGAAAAGUUGGUAUCGAUCGGCAGUUUAAUAAAGGAUUGAUCUUAUUGAGUCUUCGUUGAAGAAGUAGCGACCUGCAUCAAAGGUAACUCCUGCCAAAAGAGCAAGGUAGUUCAUGUAGGAUUUGCUCGCCAGAAGAAAGGUCAGUUGCUUUAAGCCGUCUAUUUCCUUCGUCGUGAAUCCUUUGGACAGAACCAGAAGGAAAGUCUCAUCUAUGAAGAAAUUCUUCUUCAGAGAAGUCUCUCCCAAUUGACUGUAUAAAUCACUUGGAUUUUCGAAUUUACCAUUUUAAGAACCGUGUUUGAAUUUAUCGCUUUAAGAACUGUUUUCGCAUUUAUCGUUUUAAGAAAUACUACUUAGUGGUGGUUUGUUGAAGGGCUGCGUAACAGUUUACUUCCGGUUAAGGUUUUCAUUCUUUCCCCCAUUGUUCAUCGGUGUUUAAUAAAUGUUUGGUUGUUUUGAUAUAAUCUGCCUCAAUUGAUAUUCAUUACUGCCAGUUACGUAACAUUGGAUAGCACCGCAAUCCAAAACCCUGUUAUCUCUAUUCAUAACCUAAACAUUGCUGCUGCGGUGAAACCAUUACUUCAGCAGUGAAACAUUACAGAGAGGCCAUUAAAUGAGCGGUGAAACCUUACAGUGUGAUAUACUUGUGGCACACUGCUGGGUUCACACUGGGCAGAAAGUUUCAAUAAGCUGCAUGCUGGAUAUUUGUCCAUCACAGUUGCUCAAUGCAAUUUUGACAGUGACUGUCGGUGCUGAACUCUGCAAUUAUUGCUGCUGCUCACCACACUCAGUUCUGCACCCUGGUCACUGUGCAUGGGAGGAGUUUCUUCUGCUGCAUAUUCACCUUAAAGAGACUGGAGAUUACUAUUCCUGUAUCUGAGACAAAUAAAUCAGUUCUAUUUUAAACUCUGUCUCCAUUACUUAGUGAAUUUAUAACACAACUAGUGUACAGGAGAGAGUCAACUCAGGCCGGCUGUACCCUGCCAAUAAUUCUGUUCCACGACAGUCCUUUUAAAUCCUCCCCUGUUGUUCAUCUCUCACUCUCCCUGUGGUGAUGGGUUCCAAACAGUCACCACUCUGUGGGUGAAGAGGUUUCCCUUGAAUUCUCUGCAGACUGAAGAAGUCGAGCUGACUGUGGUUCUGUUUGGGAUGCUCUUCGUCCCUCUAAUCUCUGUGCUGAGAAGCAUGACAUUGGUAGUUAACCUCCUUAAUCACGACUCAUUUCCACGUUAUGGGUCAUUUUCCCUGCUUCUAAAGGGUUGUUAGAAAACACCACUCUCCUCUAAAGACUGAAAGCAGAAUGGGAAACCAUUAGUUGGAUGUUCAAUGGAGCAGGGUCAGAAACCAGAGGCGGGUCUGCACAGGGCAGAGUUUGGGGCUGUGGACGAUGGUCGGGGUAAGAACGUAUGAUGAGGAGAAGGGAAUCAGCAGCGGGAUGUGGCAAUGAAUGACAGAGUAGCAACACUUGGAAGCUGAUUGACAGAGAUUGUGUGACUGAUGACACAAACAACACCAGUGGUGAGGUGCUCCACUGGUCGAGGAACGUGUGUGUUGGGAAUGGUUUUUUCUAUUGUGGGGGUUGUUUCUGCUUGUUUAUCCUGUAAGAUUAUAUCCCCAUGGUUAUUAUGGAUUGUCCUAUCUGAAAUAGUGUAUUGAUUAUCAAAUAAUUUGUAAGAUUUUGACUCCAAAACUGGAUCAGGCUUGAAUUUAUGGAGUGAUGGAGGGCAUUCAUGAGUUUGUAUUUUAAAGCAAGAUUUUGGUCAAUGAUAUUUUCCACUUGAUUGUACUUCAUAAGUAAUCAAACUGAGUUAAACUGCUGCAGGAUCCCGGAAUAUGUUGGAUUGUGUCUGGUUUUUCUUGGCAUUUCAUGUAUUUUUGAUUUUUUUUUUUUGCCUUUUGUUAACCACCUUAUCCCAUAUUUCUGCAAGGAACCCCCCUGUUUCUGGGAGGAGGACUCCAACUCUCAGUCAGGUGCUCGAUGCUUCCUUGUCAACAUCUCAUCUGUUCAGAUCGUUGGGAUGUCUCCCAUGGAGGGUCAUACUCAUUCCACUGGUUAAUGUUUUCUUCCAUAGUGAUGUUUCAUUUUUUCUGAAUGGACCUCUCAUUUCAGUUUUCUGGUAUUUCUUAUCACAAUUGCAUAUACACACAUGGAGUGCUGAAUCCAGUUCAUUUUUGAUGAAAAUAUUUACUUAGAAGUUUAAUCUGACCGUUGUGUUUUUUUUUUCCACGUGUGUUAUUUCUAUUCCUCCUUCUGUUGAAGGUAGUGUUAAUCUAAGUGGGUUUAAGUGUAAAUAUGCUUUUCUAAAUUUCUUAUUUAUGUUUGUAAAUUUUAUGUAUUGAAAUGGGACUAAGAUAUUUUUAUUAAA